UACAUUUGGUAGAGAUUGUUGAGGACCCCUGGUCCCAGUAGACCCCAGGAAAUGCCCACAUUCGCUGGUGCUGGAACAAGGUGAUUAAGGGUGAAGCCUGGUGCCAGAUGUGU
ensembl:rRNA 5S_rRNA 5S ribosomal RNA